rnacentral:rRNA from 1 species
CCACACCUAAAAACUUUCCACGUGAACCGUUUCAACCCAAUAGUUGGGGGUCUUAUUUGGCGGCGGCUGCUGGCUUAAUUGUUGGCGGCUGCUGCUGAGUGAGCCCUAUCAAAAAAAAGGCGAACGUUUGGGCUUCGGCCUGAUUUAGUAGUCUUUUUUUCUUUUAAACCCAUUCCUUAAUACUGAAUAUACUGUGGGGACGAAAGUCUCUGCUUUUAACUAGAUAGCAACUUUCAGCAGUGGAUGUCUAGGCUCGCACAUCGAUGAAGAACGCUGCGAACUGCGAUACGUAAUGCGAAUUGCAGGAUUCAGUGAGUCAUCGAAAUUUUGAACGCAUAUUGCACUUCCGGGUUAGUCCUGGAAGUAUGCCUGUAUCAGUGUCCGUACAUUAAACUUGACUUUCUUCCUUCCGUGUAGUCGGUGGAGGAGAUGUCAGAUGUGAAGUGUCUUGCGAUUGGUCUUCGGACCGGCUGCGAGUCCUUUUAAAUGUACUAAACUGAACUUCUCUUUGCUCGAAAAGUGGUGGCGUUGCUGGUUGUGAAGGCUGCUAUUGUGGCAAAUUGGCGACUGGUUUGUCUGCUGCGGCGUUAAUGGAAGAGUGUUCGAUUCGUGGUAUGGUUGGCUUCGGCUGAACAAUGCACUUAUUGGACGUUUUUCCUGCUGUGGCGUGAUGGACUGGUGAACCAUAGCUCGGUGGCUUGGCUUUUGAAUUGGCUUUGCUGUUGCGAAGUAGGGUGGCAGCUUCGGUUGUCGAGGGUCGAUCCAUUUGGGAACUUAAUGUGUACUUCGGUAUGCAUCUCAA